rnacentral:tRNA from 1 species
GCGCGUAUAGCUCAGUGGUUAGAGCUCUGGUCUUACACACCAGCUGGCGGGGGUUCGAAUCCCUCUACGCGCA